AACGAACGUUAGCGGCGCGCCUAAGACAUGCAAGUCGAGCGAGAAAGGGAUUCGUCCCCGGUAAAGCGGCGCACGGGUGAGUAACACGUAGGUAAUCAACCCUCGAGUGGUGGACAACUCUCCGAAAGGAGAGCUAAUACAGCAUGACGUGGCGGUCUUCCGAGAUCGUUUCCAAAGCGGGCCUCUUCAUGAAAGCUCGCGCUCGAGGAUGAGCCUGCGGCCCAUCAGCUAGUUGGAGGGGUAACGGCCCACCAAGGCAUAGACGGGUAGCUGGUCUGAGAGGAUGAACAGCCACACUGGAACUGAGACACGGUCCAGACUCCUACGGGAGGCAGCAGUCGGGAAUCUUCCGCAAUGGGCGAAAGCCUGACGGAGCGACGCCGCGUGAGUGAUGAAGGCCUUCGGGUUGUAAAGCUCUGUGGGGAGGGAAGAAUAAGUUCAAGCGAAUACCUUGAAUGAUGACGGUACCUCCUUAGCAAGCACCGGCUAACUCUGUGCCAGCCGCCGCGGUAA
rnacentral:rRNA from 1 species